AUAGUUCCUCGUUAGGUGAGGCUCCUGUGCUGGAGAUACGCUGCUGCCCAAAAAUGUCCAAAGACGCCAAUGGGUCAACAGGAACCAUCGACAUAAGGUGGUUUUUAAUGUAGCUGGAAUGAGAUUCCUAUGCCGCACAGUGCUAAAGCUCUACGAAUGGAGGGUUUC
rfam:Bacillus pseudofirmus OF4, complete genome.